UUAAUGGGCUUUGCUUUGGUGGGGGCCUCUGCUUAUAUUAAUAAACAUACAAAAGGUAUGACAAAGAUCUUUAAACACUCUAAAGUUGCCUGCUAGUUCUGAGGUUAGACCAACACAGCUACAAGCAAAAACCCAAUUAGUUCUGACUUGCUUUGAAGUAACAAACAUCAAUAUACUUAGGCUUGGCAGACUUCAUAUUUUUAAAUUAAUAAACGUUGAUAAAUGGCAAUUUCACCUCAGUCACAGACCCAUGGAAACUAUUUCCAUUGGUAAUAAUCAAAACUUAUAGAAAGGGGAUUGUAACAGAAAAUCCUUACCCCUGUUACUAGGCAGUGGAAAAAGAGAAGGAACAGAGGGCAGAGGGAUUAAACAGGAAAACAAUGGGCAGCCUAAUACAGUGUUUCGCCAACCUUUUUUGGCCCAUGGCACAUUUACCUAAAUAAAAAAGCACCACGACACACUGGACACGGAGCGGGGGGAGGCGCGUGGCCAGCCGGAUGCCGACAGAAGGAGGGGCAGCGCACAGCCAGCUGGAUGGCAUUUUGGGCUGGAGUCACGCCCCCUGCCUGGCUGGAGUCACAGCAGCAGCAGGCAGGGGGUGUGGCUCCAGCCCAAAAUGCCUUGGCACACCUGGACCUGCCUAACAGCACACUGGUUGGGAAAUGUUGGCCUAAUAAUACUUCAAUUAAGCAAUUAGCUGCUCCUUUCUGACUAAUGCCUCAUUAAUUAAGCAAUUAUGUGCUCCUUCACAGAUGCUACUAUAGUGAGAUAACAGGCUACCUAAACAAAGCCCUACCCAAACCCCAGAGAGGACAAGGGGGAAGAGUAUGUGAAGUUUCAGUCUGGUGGCAGCAAGGUCCUGCCUGAGGGCAGCCACUACCUCACCCUGUGUUCCCAGAGCUCUGGGAGUAACACUGCACUCUCUUCUGGUCCCUGCCUAUGCAACUGUUUCCUGAAGAAUAAACAGAAUGAUUUAAAGCAGCUGCUGGGCUGAGCUGGGGCAGAAUGGGAGAGCACUGACUGGAGGCAGGAGACCACACUGAAGUGUAGUGGAUCAUAAUUUAAGAAGGGCAGUGAAGACUUCAGAGUGAGCAAGCCAGGAGAUUGGCUGGGCCAGAGAUUGGACAGUGGAGGCAUAUGUGAACAAGGCACAGAGACAACCCUCCCUCCUCAGAACAGGCUGUUCUAGAUCAAAUGAGAAGGAAGAAAGCUGUCCCAGUUUUGUAACCUGGCAGUGGCACAAGAUGCACCUGUUUGGCUGAGGGUUGUUCUGUUCUGUUAGGAGUUACGCAGGGGGAUAUCUUGGAAAUGUCUGACUAACUGAAAGUUUGUACAGUCCUCUCCUCAUCUUGGCUAUGGUGAAUUAAUAAAUACCUUGCUGUUGCAACAUUAAGGACUUCUUCUGUAAGUCAGGGUGGGAUUUGGGCCUCAGGGUUUAAUUUCUUUAAAUUAAUUUAGUUCUUGAUUGAUCACCCUGGAGACUUGAAGGGCUCUAUUUAUCCUCAGAACAAGCACAGCCUGGCAGCCAUAGUGCCAGCAUCCUUAAACUGACUCCCCCUGUGUCCUGACCUUGCCUUGAAGACUCCUCCAAUGUCUUGUCUACAUUAGGAAAAUUAGUCAUAUUCUUUUUAAUUAAAAUUUUUCAUUGCUCUACUAAGCUCUUCUGUUUUGCAGUAUCCUCACAGGCACCUAUCUGUUGUGUCUACCUCUCAUACCCUGAUCCCUGAUGACAUCUAGAGAGUUAGCAUACUGAGACAGGGACUGCUCCCUUCAUCAGUGUACAGUCUCUAGCACAACAGGAUCCUGGUCAUGUAUAGGGAGGGGCUCACCAUACUAGAAAUAGAGAACUAAAUACAUUACAUUUUUAUUAU